GAACGCUGGCGGCGUGCUUAACACAUGCAAGUCGAACGGGGCGAAGUGAUAGCUUGCUAUUAUGGAGCCUAGUGGCAAACGGGUGAGUAACGCGUAGGCAACCUGCCCUUCAGAUGGGGACAACACCUCGAAAGGGGUGCUAAUACCGAAUGACGUUUCCUGGUCGCAUGACCUGGAAACCAAAGGCUGGGCAACCGGUCACUGAAGGAUGGGCCUGCGUCUGAUUAGCUAGUUGGUGGGGUAACGGCCCACCAAGGCGACGAUCAGUAGCCGGUCUGAGAGGAUGAACGGCCACAUUGGGACUGAGACACGGCCCAAACUCCUACGGGAGGCAGCAGUGGGGAAUCUUCCGCAAUGGGCGCAAGCCUGACGGAGCAACGCCGCGUGAGUGAAGAAGGUUUUCGGAUCGUAAAGCUCUGUUGAGAGGGACGAGAGAUAUAAUCAGGAAAUGGGUUAUAGAGGACGGUACCUUUCGAGGAAGCCACGGCUAACUACGUG
rnacentral:rRNA from 1 species